rnacentral:rRNA from 1 species
AAUACGUUCCCGGGCCUUGUACACACCGCCCGUCACACCAUGGGAGUGGGUUGCAAAAGAAGUAGGUAGCUUAACCUUCGGGAGGGCGCUUACCACUUUGUGAUUCAUGACUGGGGUGAAGUCGUAACAAGGUAACCGUAGGGGAACCUGCGGUUGGAUCACCUCCUUACCUUAAAGAAGC